rnacentral:rRNA from 1 species
GAUGAACGCUGGCGGCGUGCCUAAUACAUGCAAGUCGAGCGAACAGACGAGGAGCUUGCUCCUUUUACGUUAGCGGCGGACGGGUGAGUAACACGUGGAUAACCUACCUAUAAGACUGGGAUAACUUCGGGAAAACGGAGCUAAUACCGGAUAACAUGUUGAACCGCAUGGUUCAACAGUGAAAGACGGUUUUGCUGUCGCUUAUAGAUGGAUCCGCGCCGCAUUAGCUAGUUGGUAAGGUAACGGCUUACCAAGGCAACGAUGCGUAGCCGACCUGAGAGGGUGACCGGCCACACUGGAACUGAGACACGGUCCAGACUCCUACGGGAGGCAGCAGUAGGGAAUCUUCCGCAAUGGGCGAAAGCCUGACGGAGCAACGCCGCGUGUGUGAAGAAGGUCUUCGGAUCGUAAAACUCUGUUAUUAGGGAAGAACAAAUGUGUAAGUAACUAUGCACGUCUUGACGGUACCUAAUCAGAAAGCCACGGCUAACUACGUG